rnacentral:rRNA from 1 species
AAAUUGAAGAGUUUGAUCAUGGCUCAGAUUGAACGCUGGCGGCAGGCCUAACACAUGCAAGUCGAACGGUAACAGGAAGCAGCUUGCUGCUUCGCUGACGAGUGGCGGACGGGUGAGUAAUGUCUGGGAAACUGCCUGAUGGAGGGGGAUAACUACUGGAAACGGUGGCUAAUACCGCAUAACGUCGCAAGACCAAAGAGGGGGACCUUCGGGCCUCUUGCCAUCAGAUGUGCCCAGAUGGGAUUAGCUAGUUGGUGAGGUAACGGCUCACCAAGGCGACGAUCCCUAGCUGGUCUGAGAGGAUGACCAGCCACACUGGAACUGAGACACGGUCCAGACUCCUACGGGAGGCAGCAGUGGGGAAUAUUGCACAAUGGGCGCAAGCCUGAUGCAGCCAUGCCGCGUGUAUGAAGAAGGCCUUCGGGUUGUAAAGUACUUUCAGCGGGGAGGAAGGUGUUGUGGUUAAUAACCGCAGCAAUUGACGUUACCCGCAGAAGAAGCACCGGCUAACUCCGUGCCAGCAGCCGCGGUAAUACGGAGGGUGCAAGCGUUAAUCGGAAUUACUGGGCGUAAAGCGCACGCAGGCGGUCUGUCAAGUCGGAUGUGAAAUCCCCGGGCUCAACCUGGGAACUGCAUUCGAAACUGGCAGGCUUGAGUCUUGUAGAGGGGGUAGAAUUCCAGGUGUAGCGGUGAAAUGCGUAGAGAUCUGGAGGAAUACCGGUGGCGAAGGCGGCCCCUGGACAAAGACUGACGCUCAGGUGCGAAAGCGUGGGGAGCAAACAGGAUUAGAUACCCUGGUAGUCCACGCCGUAAACGAUGUCUACUUGGAGGUUGUGCCCUUGAGGCGUGGCUUCCGGAGCUAACGCGUUAAGUAGACCGCCUGGGGAGUACGGCCGCAAGGUUAAAACUCAAAUGAAUUGACGGGGCCCGCACAAGCGGUGGAGCAUGUGGUUUAAUUCGAUGCAACGCGAAGAACCUUACCUGGUCUUGACAUCCACGGAAGUUUUCAGAGAUGAGAAUGUGCCUUCGGGAACCGUGAGACAGGUGCUGCAUGGCUGUCGUCAGCUCGUGUUGUGAAAUGUUGGGUUAAGUCCCGCAACGAGCGCAACCCUUAUCCUUUGUUGCCAGCGGUUAGGCCGGGAACUCAAAGGAGACUGCCAGUGAUAAACUGGAGGAAGGUGGGGAUGACGUCAAGUCAUCAUGGCCCUUACGACCAGGGCUACACACGUGCUACAAUGGCGCAUACAAAGAGAAGCGACCUCGCGAGAGCAAGCGGACCUCAUAAAGUGCGUCGUAGUCCGGAUUGGAGUCUGCAACUCGACUCCAUGAAGUCGGAAUCGCUAGUAAUCGUGGAUCAGAAUGCCACGGUGAAUACGUUCCCGGGCCUUGUACACACCGCCCGUCACACCAUGGGAGUGGGUUGCAAAAGAAGUAGGUAGCUUAACCUUCGGGAGGGCGCUUACCACUUUGUGAUUCAUGACUGGGGUGAAGUCGUAACAAGGUAACCGUAGGGGAACCUGCGGUUGGAUCACCUCCUUACCUGAAAGAAGC